rnacentral:tRNA from 1 species
AAACAAAAAGUAAAUUUUACGAUUAGUUACGACCUAUUUAUUUGUCUUUUGACUUUGUUUG